rnacentral:lncRNA from 1 species
AAAAAAUUGAAAAAAAAAAACAUCCAACCUCUUACAUUGUAAAUCAAAAUCCCACUUUGUAGAACUUUAAUAAAAUUACUUUCUUCCUCGUUAACUACUUUGUUCAAUUAAAUUACUCAUAUCAUGUCUACCACAUAAAAUCUACUUAACCAUUUCUUUCCAAACCCAUUUAGUUUCCAAGAAUCAUGGGAGCGAAAAGGGCAAAAGAAGCUUGGGAUAAACUAAAGGAGAAGUUUCACGGCAGUGACAAGGUACGUACUUGUUGUUUUUUAACUUUAAGAAGAAAUUUUGAAAAUUCAAGAAUAGAUGAAAUAGUAAAUCAACUAAGAUCUAAUGGAGAUGAUGUUCCUCAAAAAACAAUUGUCGAAAAAAUUUUAAUUUCUUGCGUAGAAAAAUAUGAUCUAAUUAUUGCAGCUAUUGAGGAGUCAAAACAUAUAGGUAAAUUGACAGCUGCAGAAUUAAUGGGUUCACUAAUAGCACAUUAAAAAAUUUAGAAAGGCGUUAUAAAAUAAACACAGAAGAUGCAUUUCAAUCUAAAGUUAAUAUGUGGUUUCAGAAAUCUAAAGAAGGUGAGAGAAAAUUGUAAAAUUAUAGAAACUCAAGGAAAAGAAUUUGAUAAAAGCGGCAAGUAUCCUUCAUAUGAGAUAUGUAAAAGAAAAAGUCAUUUGGAGAAUGAUUGUUGGAGAAAGGCUGUUGGUUUAAAGGAAAACCACAGCGUCUUAGCUGUAAAAAAUUUGAUUACGAAGAAAAAUUUGUCGUUUUAAACAAAUCAUCAAGCUAAUUUUUCUGAAGAAAAAGAUAUAGAAGGAAGUCUAUUUUAUGUCUCUAGCAAGGAAACAUCUAAAGACAAACUGGAUACAUGGUUUCUAGAUAGUGGCUGUACCAAUCACAUGAUGAAAGAUGAAAGUAUUUUCUGCAGUUUUGAUAAAACCAAGGCAAAAAUCAAGAUUGACAAUGAAAAUUUUAUGGAGGCAAUACGCAAAGGCACUAUUGCCAUUGAUACAAAAAAAUGCAAGAGAUACAUUAAUAAAGUUCUAUUAGUCGCUACAAUAGAUCAAAUCUACUAAGUGUAGGUCAGAUGAUGGAGAAAGGAUAUACUUUGCCAUUUGAAGGAGAUUCUUGCACAAUCUAUGACAAGAAAGAUAAAUAUCUUGUAAUUGUAAAAGUUAAAAAGUAGGAGAACAGAUGUUUUUCAAUCCAAUGGAGUUAUCGCAAACAAUGCAACGAUGACGGCACAAGUGCAGGCUGUGGCACAAAAGAUUUGGACAUUUCCACUUCUAUGAUUGAAGAUCCUUCAGCAAAAGAGGAUGAUGAGAGACUCAACAAUUAUAAAAGAGAUUUAUACAAUCUAUGAAGGAUGUUUGCUCAAGAAACAACACCUCCAACCAUUUCCGCUCGAAAAAUCUUGGAGAGCUCAAAAGCGAUAGAGGCAAAGAAUAUACUUCAGAUGAAUUAAACAAGUUCUGUGAAGAUGAAGGAAUGGAGCAUCAACUCAUCAUUGGAUACGUGCCUGAACAAAAUAGCGUGUCAGAAAUAAAGAAUAGAAUAGUAGGAGAUAGCUAGAGCUAUGCUAAUGGACAAAGGUAUUCCAAAAACUUUUUGGACAGAAUCAGUAAGCACUGCAGUUUACCUACUAAAUCGAUGUCCGACUAAAGUUGUGCAAGACAAAAUGCCAGUGGAAACAUGGAGUGUAUGAAAACUAUCAGCAAAGCACCUCAGAGUUUCUAACUGCAUCUGCUACAUACAUAUUCCACAAGAGAAAAGAGGUAAGCUAGAUGAAGAAAAAGAAAAAUGAAUCUUCUUAGGUUAUAGUACCCAAUCAAAAGGUAUUGAAUAUGUAACCUGAGAACAAAGAAGCUAAUUAUAAGUCAAGACGUUAAAUUUGAUGAAGAUGACACCUACAACUGGGAGAAUAGUCAAGUUAAAAGAAUAUCUAUCAACACCCUAACACAAUCACAAAAAUAGAAGGGUGACAUUAAGGAGAAAAAUCAACCAGAGUCCCUACAACAAGCAACUAUAGACGAACCAGUCGACUCACUAGAAUCGCUGUAAAGAAAAACACGAAGAUUAUCGAAAAUAUAUCAAAGCCGCAAUUUGAUAAUCAUUGAACCUAAAAACUAUGAAGCAAAUUCAAAACAACCAGAAUGGAGAAAAGCUAUGGAUGAAAAAAUAAAAAUGAUCGAGAAAAACAACACUUGGGAGCUUGUAGAUCUUCCUCAAGAUAAAUAAGUCAUUGGAGUUAAGUGGGUCUACAAGACAAAGCUUAAUGCUGAUGAUUCAAUCCAAAAAAUAAAGAAAGACUAGUCGUCAAAGGAUACUCACAAUAGUUUGGCAUUGACUACACUGAGACACUUGCUCCAGUUACAUGUCUCGACAUUAUAAGGGCGUUGAUUGCACUAUCUGCAUAGAAAAGAUGGAAGAUUUACCAUCUAGACGUCAAAUUCAGCAUUUAUUAAUCGCUAUCUUGAAGAAAAGAUUUACAUAGAGCAACCUCAAGAGUAUGUGACACAAGGUAAAGAAGAUAAAUUCUCAAAUUAAGGAAGACACUAUAUGGAUUAAAGCAAGCUCCGCGAGCUUGGUACAGCAAAAUAGACAACUACUUCAUUGAGCAAGGAUUCACGAGGAGUCAAAGUAAACCAACUCUAUACAUAAAAAAUCAAGGUACAAACAGUACACUUAUAAUCUCUUUAUAUAUUGAUGAUCUCAUCUAUACAGAGAACAAUAAGAAGAUGAUCAAGAAAUUCAAGAAAGACAUGAUAAAAAUGUUUGAGAUGACUGCUUUGGGAUUAAUGAGCUAUUUUAUUGGGAUCAAGAUAGCUCAAUCUGAAGAUGGGAUCUUCAUUGUUCAGAAGAAAUAUACCACUAGUCUAUUAAAGAAGUUCAAGAUGGAAGGUUGCAAAAUGGUUGCAACACCCCUGGAUAGCAACAAAUCUCUCAGAAAAGAAGACGGUACUCCAAAAUCAGACAACUCACAAUUUCAAAGCUUAAUUGAAAGUUUAAUCUGUCGCACAGCUAUAAGGCUAGACAUAAUGUAUGCAACCAGUCUAUUUUCCAGAUUCAUGCAAAAUUCAAGUCAAGUCCACUGUGGAGCUGCAAAGCGGAUACUAAGAUACCUCCAAGGAACAAAAGACUAUGGAAUAAGGUAUCAAUCUAUGCUUGACUCAAGACUACUAGGGUAUACUGAUAGCGAUUGGGCAAGAUUAGUAGAUGAUAUGAAGAGCACAUCAGGCUAUGCAUUCACACUAGGUUUUGAAAUAUUCACUUGGGCAUCAAAGAAAUAGGCAACGGGUGCACAAUCAUCAUCGGAAGCAGAGUAUAUUGUAGUAGCAAUGGCAAUGAGUCAAGCUAUAUGACUAAAACACAUACUUGAAGACAUGGGAAAACCACAAGAUAAAGCUAUAGAGAUCUACUGUGAUAGUAAAUCUACAAUAGCAAUGGCUAAAAAUUCCAUAUUCCACAGCAGAACCAAACACAUUGGCAUCAAGUACCAUUUAAUCAGAGAAACUGAACCAAUAUAAAGAGAUAGAGCUCAAAAAUUGCAAGACUGAAGAACGAUUAAUAGAUAUAUUUACAAAGGUGCUACUAAGAGCAAAGUUCGUGUUACAAUGAGAAAUGAUAGGAGUAAUCAAAAUAUGCACCAAGGAGGAUUAUUAAUGGUUGUUGCAUAUUUUAAGAUUAAUCUAGAAUUCACUAGAAUUGCCUUGGAG